GCCCAGCCGUGUUCCAGACACCUCGGGGUUUUAUUUUCUGCAGCCUCUGAGGGAGACUCGGGGCUGUGGAGCUGGUUACCGUGCUUCUCAUCAGAGAAGCCCUCGACACCAGGCUGCCUCCCCUUGAACCCAUGUCCCUGGCAAGAAGCCUUCCUGCAGGGCUGCCAGCACUAAUUAGCAUUAACAGGGCUGCCUGCCAAACUCCCUCACUGCCUCAAAGUGUGGGACAGCUUCUCUGCUUAGAAGGAGGUUUUGGUCAUGGCUGCAUUGGGGCCUCCAUAAACCACUGGAUCUAAACUCCUUGGAGAAGCAGUUAAGACAAGUUUCCUAAUUUCAUCCUUUUCUGGCAGCUACAGCAUUGCACUUUCCCCCUUUCCUUAAAAAAAUAUCAACCAAUGCCUGAAGAACAGAGAGGGCUUUAUUGUUACUCGGCCACUGCUCCUGAUCCUCCUUAUCAACAGCUCUCCGAGAAAGGCCCUCCAAGAUCUCACCGCAGCAUCUUCAUUUACUGAAAUACUCUUUCCCGGGAUUUUUGUGUCACGUCAGCUCAAAUGGAAACAUUGCUGAAGCUGCUUUGAUUCUGAGCUUGUUCUGCUGGGUCAGUGAUGAGGAAAAACCAUCUCUGGAGCUGGGAAAGGGCCGGAGGUUGUGUGGGAAAAUAAGCUUGGACACUGAAAGCCGUGUGAACUUUGACCUGGGAUCCUAACCUCUGCUGCGUGAGCCACUCUGCAGGGGGCCAAUCAGAAAGCAGAUCCCAUGAAGUUGCAUGACUGUCAGAACCAAAACCUGGGAUGUCCUCGUUACUGCGGAUGUUAUAACCUAAAUCAGUGGGUCUCAACCAAGAGCCACUCUGGCCCCCAGGGUGCAUUUGGCAAUGUCUGGAGAUGUUUUUGGUAGUUGCCGUUGAUGGAGGUCACAGGCCGAGCAAGGCUGCUGAACUCUUCACAGUGCACAGGACAGCCCCACCACAAAGAAUGAGCUGGCUCAAAAUGUCACUAGAGCAAUUCCUUUUUUGCCUGCUGGUCAGUGGCCUGAAGCGCCCCAGGAGGAAGCAGGACCUGUAAGCCAGCGGAGCCUAAAGGUGCAGCUCCCACAGGCAGCGCCAGUUACCUGGGGGUGAGGGACUACUGCUCCAGACACAGCCCUGGAUUUCAGCUGACGUCAUAGCCUGUGUGUGGCAGCCUGGGAGACUGAGCCCUGCCUUGUUUCCUGUCCCUUUAUAAAACUCUUACAGUCUCCA